rnacentral:rRNA from 1 species
CGGACGGGUGAGUAACGCGUGGGUAACCUGCCUUGUACAGGGGGAUAACAGUUGGAAACGGCUGCUAAUACCGCAUAAGCGCACGGCAUCGCAUGAUGCAGUGUGAAAAACUCCGGCGGUAUAAGAUGGACCCGCGUUGGAUUAGCUAGUUGGUGAGGUAACGGCCCACCAAGGCGACGAUCCAUAGCCGACCUGAGAGGGUGACCGGCCACAUUGGGACUGAGACACGGCCCAA